GAUGAACGCUGGCGGCGUGCCUAAUACAUGCAAGUCGAGCGAACGGACGAGAAGCUUGCUUCUCUGAUGUUAGCGGCGGACGGGUGAGUAACACGUGGAUAACCUACCUAUAAGACUGGGAUAACUUCGGGAAACCGUAGCUAAUACCGGAUAAUAUUUUGAACCGCAUGGUUCAAAAGUGAAAGACGGUCUUGCUGUCACUUAUAGAUGGAUCCGCGCUGCAUUAGCUAGUUGGUAAGGUAACGGCUUACCAAGGCAACGAUGCAUAGCCGACCUGAGAGGGUGAUCGGCCACACUGGAACUGAGACACGGUCCAGACUCCUACGGGAGGCAGCAGUAGGGAAUCUUCCGCAAAGGGCGAAAGCCUGACGGAGCAACGCCGCGUGAGUGAUGAAGGUCUUCGGAUCGUAAAACUCUGUUAUUAGGGAAGAACAUAUGUGUAAGUACCUGUGCACAUCUUGACGGUACCUAAUCAGAAAGCCACGGCUAACUACGUG
rnacentral:rRNA from 1 species